rnacentral:rRNA from 1 species
UACAGAGGGGGCAAGCGUUGUUCGGAAUUACUGGGCGUAAAGGGCGCGUAGGCGGCCUUCUAAGUCGAACGUGAAAUCCCUGGGCUCAACCCAGGAACUGCGUCCGAUACUGGAAGGCUUGAAUCCGGGAGAGGGAUGCGGAAUUCCAGGUGUAGCGGUGAAAUGCGUAGAUAUCUGGAGGAACACCAAUAGCGAAGGCAGCUCGCUGGGACGGUACUGACGCUAAGGCGCGAAAGCGUGGGGAGCGAACAGG